AUCCUCUCAGAGCCGCCCCUGGAGAGUUUCCGGUACUCUACCAGUCUCGACUACUGGAGGCAGAGUGAAGCAGAGGUACACCCGUUCCAUUCCUAGCUUGGGCUGUGGCUAGAGAGUGGCAGGCAAUCUGCUACAAGU